rnacentral:pre_miRNA from 1 species
GAGACACCCCUGUGGAGCAGGACUUGCUUCAGUGGUGCUUUGGUGCUCACUGAGUCUUCCCCUUGAGUGUGUUGCU